GUAGGCAAGGAGACCUAUUAAAACUUAUUUCAGCCCAAUUCUGUCUGAUCUCGGAAGCUAAGCAGGGUCGGGCCUGGUUAGUACUUGGAUGGGAGACCAUGUAGGAAGACCAGGUACUGUAGACA
ensembl:rRNA 5S_rRNA 5S ribosomal RNA